UACGAAGGGGGCUAGCGUUGUUCGGAUUUACUGGGCGUAAAGCGCACGUAGGCGGAUUGUUAAGUCUGCUGUGAAAGCCCCGGGCUCAACCUGGGAAUGGCAGUGGAUACUGGCAAGCUAGAGUGCGGUAGAGGGGUGUGGAAUUCCCGGUGUAGCGGUGAAAUGCGUAGAGAUCGGGAGGAACACCAGUGGCGAAGGCGGCACCCUGGACCAGCACUGACACUGAGGCACGAAAGCGUGGGGAGCAAACAGG
rnacentral:rRNA from 1 species